AAAUUGAAGAGUUUGAUCAUGGCUCAGAUUGAACGCUGGCGGCAGGCCUAACACAUGCAAGUCGAACGGUAACAGGAAGCAGCUUGCUGCUUCGCUGACGAGUGGCGGACGGGUGAGUAAUGUCUGGGAAACUGCCUGAUGGAGGGGGAUAACUACUGGAAACGGUAGCUAAUACCGCAUAACGUCGCAAGACCAAAGAGGGGGACCUUCGGGCCUCUUGCCAUCAGAUGUGCCCAGAUGGGAUUAGCUUGUUGGUGGGGUAACGGCUCACCAAGGCGACGAUCCCUAGCUGGUCUGAGAGGAUGACCAGCCACACUGGAACUGAGACACGGUCCAGACUCCUACGGGAGGCAGCAGUGGGGAAUAUUGCACAAUGGGCGCAAGCCUGAUGCAGCCAUGCCGCGUGUAUGAAGAAGGCCUUCGGGUUGUAAAGUACUUUCAGCGGGGAGGAAGGUGUUGUGGUUAAUAACCGCAGCAAUUGACGUUACCCGCAGAAGAAGCACCGGCUAACUCCGUGCCAGCAGCCGCGGUAAUACGGAGGGUGCAAGCGUUAAUCGGAAUUACUGGGCGUAAAGCGCACGCAGGCGGUCUGUUAAGUCAGAUGUGAAAUCCCCGGGCUCAACCUGGGAACUGCAUCUGAUACUGGCAGGCUUGAGUCUCGUAGAGGGGGGUAGAAUUCCAGGUGUAGCGGUGAAAUGCGUAGAGAUCUGGAGGAAUACCGGUGGCGAAGGCGGCCCCCUGGACGAAGACUGACGCUCAGGUGCGAAAGCGUGGGGAGCAAACAGGAUUAGAUACCCUGGUAGUCCACGCCGUAAACGAUGUCGACUUGGAGGUUGUGCCCUUGAGGCGUGGCUUCCGGAGCUAACGCGUUAAGUCGACCGCCUGGGGAGUACGGCCGCAAGGUUAAAACUCAAAUGAAUUGACGGGGGCCCGCACAAGCGGUGGAGCAUGUGGUUUAAUUCGAUGCAACGCGAAGAACCUUACCUGGUCUUGACAUCCACGGAAGUUUUCAGAGAUGAGAAUGUGCCUUCGGGAACCGUGAGACAGGUGCUGCAUGGCUGUCGUCAGCUCGUGUUGUGAAAUGUUGGGUUAAGUCCCGCAACGAGCGCAACCCUUAUCCUUUGUUGCCAGCGGUUAGGCCGGGAACUCAAAGGAGACUGCCAGUGAUAAACUGGAGGAAGGUGGGGAUGACGUCAAGUCAUCAUGGCCCUUACGACCAGGGCUACACACGUGCUACAAUGGCAUAUACAAAGAGAAGCGACCUCGCGAGAGCAAGCGGACCUCAUAAAGUAUGUCGUAGUCCGGAUUGGAGUCUGCAACUCGACUCCAUGAAGUCGGAAUCGCUAGUAAUCGUGGAUCAGAAUGCCACGGUGAAUACGUUCCCGGGCCUUGUACACACCGCCCGUCACACCAUGGGAGUGGGUUGCAAAAGAAGUAGGUAGCUUAACCUUCGGGAGGGCGCUUACCACUUUGUGAUUCAUGACUGGGGUGAAGUCGUAACAAGGUAACCGUAGGGGAACCUGCGGUUGGAUCACCUCCUUACCUUAAAGAA
rnacentral:rRNA from 1 species